rnacentral:lncRNA from 1 species
GGUUACAGUAACCACUAAAGAUAUUUAGAUAAGGCAACAUAGUCCGAUAGUAGAAUUGCAUCCAACCACACCAAAGAAAGAUGUCUUGAACAGUAGAAUGAAGAGCCCUCUAAUGGUUAUAGAGAAUAAAACUCCAAAAGCUCAAGAAAUAAGAUAUAAUCCAGGCAACCCAUAGAUAUAAUCCAAGAGCAAGGUUAUUUUAAAAUUG